rnacentral:rRNA from 1 species
UACGUAGGGGGCUAGCGUUGUCCGGAAUCAUUGGGCGUAAAGCGCGUGUAGGCGGUUCGGUAAGUCUGCUGUGAAAGUCGGGGGCUCAACCCUCGAAUGCCGGUGGAUACUGUCGGACUAGAGUGCGGAAGAGGCGAGUGGAAUUCCUGGUGUAGCGGUGAAAUGCGUAGAGAUCGGAAAGAACACCAACGGCGAAAGCACUCUGCUGGGCCGACACUGACACUGAGAGACGAAAGCUAGGGGAGCGAAUGGG